AAAAGAAACUAACAAGGAUUCCCCUAGUAGCGGCGAGCGAAGCGGGAAGAGCUCAAAUUUAUAAUCUGGCACCUUCGGUGUCCGAGUUGUAAUCUCUAGAAGUGUUUUCCGCGUUGGACCGCACACAAGUCUGUUGGAAUACAGCGGCAUAGUGGUGAGACCCCCGUAUAUGGUGCGGACGCCCAACGCUUUGUGAUACACUUUCGAAGAGUCGAGUUGUUUGGGAAUGCAGCUCAAAUUGGGUGGUAAAUUCCAUCUAAAGCUAAAUAUUGGCGAGAGACCGAUAGCGAACAAGUACCGUGAGGGAAAGAUGAAAAGCACUUUGGAAAGAGAGUUAACAGUACGUGAAAUUGUUGGAAGGGAAACGCUUGAAGUCAGACUUGCUUGCCGAGCAAUCGGUUUGCAGGCCAGCAUCAGUUUUCCGGGGUGGAUAAUGGUAGAGAGAAGGUAGCAGUUUCGGCUGUGUUAUAGCUCUUUGCUGGAUACACCUUGGGGGACUGAGGAACGCAGUGUGCCUUACGGCGGAUUUCUCGAGAUCUUCACACUUAGGAUGCUGGUGGAAUGGCUUUAAACGACCCG
rnacentral:rRNA from 1 species